AUGGGGACCUGUAUGAAUGGCACCACGAGGGCUUAACUGUCUCCACUUUCCAGUCAAUGAAAUUGAUCUCCCCGUGCAGAAGCGGGGAUGAGAACAUAAGACGAGAAGACCCUAUGGAGCUUUAGACACUAAAGCAGAUCAUGUUAAACAUCCCUGAAUAAAGAACAGAACCAAAUGAAACCUGCCCUAAUGUC
rnacentral:rRNA from 1 species